rnacentral:rRNA from 1 species
UACGUAGGGUGCGAGCGUUGUCCGGAAUUAUUGGGCGUAAAGAGCUUGUAGGCGGUUUGUCGCGUCUGCUGUGAAAUCUCAAGGCUCAACCUUGAGCUUGCAGUGGGUACGGGCAGACUAGAGUGUGGUAGGGGAGACUGGAAUUCCUGGUGUAGCGGUGAGAUGCGCAGAUAUCAGGAGGAACACCGAUGGCGAAGGCAGGUCUCUGGGCCACUACUGACGCUGAGACGCGAAAGCGUGGGGAGCGAACAGG